UACGUAGGGUGCGAGCGUUAAUCGGAAUUACUGGGCGUAAAGCGUGCGCAGGCGGUUUUGUAAGCCAGAUGUGAAAUCCCCGGGCUUAACCUGGGAACUGCAUUGGUGACUGGCGGGCUAGAGUAUGGCAGAGGGGGGUAGAAUUCCACGUGUAGCAGUGAAAUGCGUAGAGAUGUGGAGGAAUACCGAUGGCGAAGGCAGCCCCCUGGGCCAAUACUGACGCUCAUGCACGAAAGCGUGGGGAGCAAACAGG
rnacentral:rRNA from 1 species